CCUCCACUCAGCUCGAAUUCAGGGGUUCUGGAUGCCUUCUAUAGACAAGACAAUAUUUUGAAAACACAACUCUUGGAAAGAGGCUACCCCAUGAAAAUUAUAAAGAGAGCUUUUUACAAGGCUCAGGUGUUGGAUUGUGGAAGAUUACUUACUUCUCAAAAAAAGUAGAAGGAAACACCUAAUAGAAUGAUCAUUCCGAUUACUUAUAAUACACAUUCUUGGGAUAGACAACAGGUAAUUAGAAAACACUGGCAUUUAUUACAGGGCAUUACAUGAUGUGAAGAACAAUCCAUGUUUGCCCAUAAAAAGUGCAGGCUUGAAAGUACACAGUGACAUAUUGAACAGUUCCAUCAGAACAACGACAUCCACCUACCCAAAGGACAUUUCAGAUGUGGCCAUUGUUCAGUUUGUGCCAAUUGUGAAUAGACUGCAACAUUCCAAAAUCCCCAGAAUCAGAGAGUAUACCACAUCAGGGAUUUCUUCAACUGCAGCAGCAAGGGAGUGAUUUAUAUCAUACAAUGUCCUUGUGGGUACUGUAUGUGGGUAUGACUACAAGACAGAUAAAAGUGAGGAUAACAAGACAAAAGCUGCAUUCAGAAUAAGAAAAUACAAGCUCCCUUGGUUAAACAUUUCAUCGAAUUCCAGCAUCAGGCACAGAGUCUGAAGUUCUGGUGUGUAGAACAGGCUCAUAACAGGAGAAUAGAUAUACACACUUGGUUGUCAUAAAGAGAGAGAUAUUGGAUCCAUACGCUGAGAACAUUGUCCCCAUUCAGUCUGAAUGAGGAAGUCAGUUGGCUUUUGUUGCCUACUGUUUCAGAUUCCAUACAUGGAUAUUUCUUGUACAUAUGUUAUAGGUUUUGGACUCACUGAUGAUUUUAUUCAUAUAUGUUUACAUGUAAUACUCUGGUACUGAUUUGCAUAGUUAUAUUUAGUUUUGUAUUGAUCUAUAGCUAUAUUUAGGUAGUUGUUUAUUAUUAUUAUUUCGAUUUCUAUACCGCUCUUCCAAAAAUAGCUCAGAGCGGUGUGUUUAUAUUUAUUUUUAAACAAUUUUGUACUAAUUUAGGCUAUGGGAGUAAGUAGUCACAGGACUGGAAGGCUGGAUACUCAAUUUAGUGGUGCUAGCAGAUGUUUCCAAUACUAGGAUGGAAAACAUCAGAAUCUAUUUAAGCCACCAGAAUGGAGUUAAGAAAGUAAGCUGAAGGGAGAAGCAAACAGCUCAGUCCUCAUGUUGGUUAGAGACCACAAGUAGAAAGAGAUUUUUCAAAAAACUGCCACUGAAGAAGACUUGACAAGAGUCGAAACGCGUUUGGCAAGAAUACAGGACUCGUCAAAAAUAGCUACAUGAGACUUUACCUCAGGAAUAUCCACACAUACUUCUCCUGCUGCACCUGCAAUACAUCCCAUCUUUUUCAUUGGAUAUAGAGACUACUUUAAUGAUCGCUUGUCAUUAAUGAUCACUAUAAAUUGUAUUGAAACAUA